rnacentral:rRNA from 1 species
GACGAACGCUGGCGGCGUGCCUAAUACAUGCAAGUAGAACGCACAGUUUAUACCGUAGCUUGCUACACCAUAGACUGUGAGUUGCGAACGGGUGAGUAACGCGUAGGUAACCUGCCUGGUAGCGGGGGAUAACUAUUGGAAACGAUAGCUAAUACCGCAUAAUAUUAAUUAUUGCAUGAUAAUUAAUUGAAAGGUGCAAUUGCACCACUACCAGAUGGACCUGCGUUGUAUUAGCUAGUAGGUGAGGUAACGGCUCACCUAGGCGACGAUACAUAGCCGACCUGAUAGGGUGAUCGGCCACACUGGGACUGAGACACGGCCCAGACUCCUACGGGAGGCAGCAGUAGGGAAGCUUCGGCAAUGGACGAAAGUCUGACCGAGCAACGCCGCGUGAGUGAAGAAGGUUUUCGGAUCGUAAAGCUCUGUUGUAAGAGAAGAACGGGUGUGAGAGUGGAAAGUUCACACUGUGACGGUAUCUUACCAGAAAGGGACGGCUAACUACGUG